AAAUUAUUUUAUCCUCAUCAAAAUUGACAAAGAGAUCAGAUCGAAAACCCUAAUCAACCUUAGUAUUCAUACAAGUUGAUUUAGGUGGGUCCAGUAUCGAUGGAGUGUUCGUUUCGAGAGUGUCGAGCAACAACGCAAGCAUAGAUAUCUCCGGAGCGGCACGACCGGUCUCUGGAAGUCUCUGGAAUCUUCUCCUAUAAUAAAUUGCUCCUCUCCUCCACCUCGCUUCCGUUGCCCGCGCCACCGUCUUGGUUCGUGGUCGAUCUCAGCCGCCGAGGAAUUCGACACGCCCACCGACGAGGACAGGAUGGACGUCCCAAAUGGCGACCCCGCCCUCCAGAUCGGCGAUUGGGUCAGAUGUAUAUCUGGUUUCCUUUCUUUUUCUCUUUCGGUUCUUUUUGUCUUUGGGCGUAUCUGCAGUUGGUCUGGUGGCUUUUAGUGGUUUCUGGGUGGAAAGGGUCCGAUCUCUGAGGUGCUGGCGUGCAGUGUAUCUCGCUGGGACGCUGCUCGACGGGACUAAGUUCGACUCCGCCCGUGAUCGGGAUACCCCGUUCAGGUUCAAUCUCGGCCUAGGUGAGGGGGCUUUUGUUUCCAAAUUCUUGCUGUCUUGAACGAUGAAACUGCUUCUCCUCCCUCUGUAAGUUGGAUGAUUAUUAUUUCUUGUGUCUAAUCUGUAUUUUAUCGUUAGCCUUCUUUGAAUGCUUGUUUCAUUUUUUCUCCCUUGAAUGAGAUGUUGUUUCUAGACAUUAUUGUAUAAGUAAAAUUGGAACUUCAUAAGCAUGAUUAGAAAUAAAUGUGGCUAGGCUGAAUAACAAAAUUACAAUCAUUAUUCCUUAUUCCUGUCAGUCCAUAAUGAUCUGCAGCAAAUUGGUUGAUGGCUCAGAGGUUGGGAAGGCAACUUGAAUUUGUAGGUAUUAGAGAUUGGUUGCUAGUGUGAGUAAAUGAAGAGUUGGGAGCAGCAACCAUAUUAAUGCUGCUGCAAAGAAAUCAGUUUCUUAAAUAGAUGACAAAGGAAACAGUUCCUUUGAUUGACUAAAUUUAUCUGUGCGUGUACAAAGAUGACAACUGGUUGCAAAAGUUUUAAUUUAAUCAACAAAAUCCUAAUUUCCUGCAGCAUGACAACAGAAUGUCACAGCUACCUCUUUUUAAAGUUAAGCAGAGUUCUUUGGAAUGUCGAGAUGAGAGAAUAGCAUGAUUAAAAUACCGCUGAAUCAGUUGGAAUAUAAUGCUUUAGAUUAAUUUGUCGAAGAAAAAACUGUAAGCCGGUUUGCUCUUGAGCACAUUCACUCAUGUUGAAGUUGAGAGUGGUCUUCUUCUUUCUCAUCAAUCACUUUUUCAAUGUAAAUGCUUUUAACAAAUUAAUUUCUUUUUAGCACUUGUGAAGUUUAUGAUUUCACUCCAUUGGUAUUCGUUAAUGUUUCAGGCGAGUUUGAACAAAGGUCUGCUGUCAGAUGACAGAGAACAUGAUCCUAAAAUUGGCAUGCAGAUAACAGGAGCAUUGUGGCUUCAGCUAGAUGUCCAAAGGCGCCUUCAUGAGCAGCUAGAGGUGCAUGCUUCCAUAAUGUUGCAGGCAACUCUGAACAAAGGGCUGCUGUCGAUGUCACAGAACAUGAUCUUACAAUUCCACUAAUUAGAGGCGACCAUACUGCUGCAGUGGCAUGCAGAUAACAGAAGCAUUACGGCUUCAGCUAGAUGACCAAAGGUGCCUUCAGGAGCAGCCAGAGAUGCACUUGAUGAGACUCCUCUUACAGUAAUUUGAUUGAAGUCCUCCUGCUGAAUCAAAAAUAUCAGAAAUGUUUCUCUUUUAUUUUUCUCUUACUAAGACCCAAAGAAAUUUACAGCAGAGGAUAAAGUAGAAUGCACCAGCAGAUGCUUGAAGAGAAAGUGAAAACAAACAAAAGUGCUGUUGAGCCUGAAAACCUGGCUAUUUUGUUUUCAAAUAGUCCAGAGAGUCUUAAAGAUGCUCAGUUCUUGUGUGCCCCAGAUGGGUCACAGAACACAUUUCCAAUUGAAGAUUGGUUAGCUUUAA